rnacentral:rRNA from 1 species
UACGUAGGGGGCAAGCGUUAUCCGGAUUUACUGGGUGUAAAGGGAGCGUAGACGGUAAUGUAAGUCUGAUGUGAAAGCCCGGGGCUCAACCCCGGGACUGCAUUGGAAACUAUGUAACUAGAGUACCGGAGAGGUAAGCGGAAUUCCUAGUGUAGCGGUGAAAUGCGUAGAUAUUACACAGAACACCGAUUGCGAAGGCAGCUUGCUAGGCCGGAUCUGACACUGAUGCACGAAAGCGUGGGGAUCGAACAGG